rnacentral:rRNA from 1 species
GGUCAAGUGAAGAAGCGCAUACGGUGGAUGCCUUGGCAGUCAGAGGCGAUGAAAGACGUGGUAGCCUGCGAAAAGCUUCGGGGAGUCGGCAAACAGACUUUGAUCCGGAGAUCUCUGAAUGGGGGAACCCACCUAGGAUAACCUAGGUAUCUUGUACUGAAUCCAUAGGUGCAAGAGGCGAACCAGGGGAACUGAAACAUCUAAGUACCCUGAGGAAAAGAAAUCAACCGAGAUUCCCUUAGUAGUGGCGAGCGAACGGGGAUUAGCCCUUAAGCUUCAUUGAUUUUAGCGGAACGCUCUGGAAAGUGCGGCCAUAGUGGGUGAUAGCCCCGUACGCGAAAGGAUCUUUGAAGUGAAAUCGAGUAGGACGGAGCACGAGAAACUUUGUCUGAACAUGGGGGGACCAUCCUCCAAGGCUAAAUACUACUGACUGACCGAUAGUGAACCAGUACCGUGAGGGAAAGGCGAAAAGAACCCCGGAGAGGGGAGUGAAAUAGAACCUGAAACCGUAUGCGUACAAGCAGUGGGAGCCUACUUGUUAGGUGACUGCGUACCUUUUGUAUAAUGGGUCAGCGACUUAUAUUCAGUGGCAAGCUUAACCGUAUAGGGUAGGCGUAGCGAAAGCGAGUCUUAAUAGGGCGUUUAGUCGCUGGGUAUAGACCCGAAACCGGGCGAUCUAUCCAUGAGCAGGUUGAAGGUUAGGUAACACUGACUGGAGGACCGAACCCACUCCCGUUGAAAAGGUAGGGGAUGACUUGUGGAUCGGAGUGAAAGGCUAAUCAAGCUCGGAGAUAGCUGGUUCUCCUCGAAAGCUAUUUAGGUAGCGCCUCAUGUAUCACUCUGGGGGGUAGAGCACUGUUUCGGCUAGGGGGUCAUCCCGACUUACCAAACCGAUGCAAACUCCGAAUACCCAGAAGUGCCGAGCAUGGGAGACACACGGCGGGUGCUAACGUCCGUCGUGAAAAGGGAAACAACCCAGACCGCCAGCUAAGGUCCCAAAGUUGUGGUUAAGUGGUAAACGAUGUGGGAAGGCUUAGACAGCUAGGAGGUUGGCUUAGAAGCAGCCAUCCUUUAAAGAAAGCGUAAUAGCUCACUAGUCGAGUCGGCCUGCGCGGAAGAUGUAACGGGGCUCAAACCACACACCGAAGCUGCGGGUGUCACGUAAGUGACGCGGUAGAGGAGCGUUCUGUAAGCCUGUGAAGGUGAGUUGAGAAGCUUGCUGGAGGUAUCAGAAGUGCGAAUGCUGACAUGAGUAACGACAAUGGGUGUGAAAAACACCCACGCCGAAAGACCAAGGGUUCCUGCGCAACGUUAAUCGACGCAGGGUUAGUCGGUUCCUAAGGCGAGGCUGAAAAGCGUAGUCGAUGGGAAACAGGUUAAUAUUCCUGUACUUCUGGUUACUGCGAUGGAGGGACGGAGAAGGCUAGGCCAGCUUGGCGUUGGUUGUCCAAGUUUAAGGUGGUAGGCUGAAAUCUUAGGUAAAUCCGGGGUUUCAAGGCCGAGAGCUGAUGACGAGUCGUCUUUUAGAUGACGAAGUGGUUGAUGCCAUGCUUCCAAGAAAAGCUUCUAAGCUUCAGGUAACCAGGAACCGUACCCCAAACCGACACAGGUGGUCGGGUAGAGAAUACCAAGGCGCUUGAGAGAACUCGGGUGAAGGAACUAGGCAAAAUGGCACCGUAACUUCGGGAGAAGGUGCGCCGGCUAGGGUGAAGGAUUUACUCCGUAAGCUCUGGCUGGUCGAAGAUACCAGGCCGCUGCGACUGUUUAUUAAAAACACAGCACUCUGCAAACACGAAAGUGGACGUAUAGGGUGUGACGCCUGCCCGGUGCCGGAAGGUUAAUUGAUGGGGUUAGCGCAAGCGAAGCUCUUGAUCGAAGCCCCGGUAAACGGCGGCCGUAACUAUAACGGUCCUAAGGUAGCGAAAUUCCUUGUCGGGUAAGUUCCGACCUGCACGAAUGGCGUAACGAUGGCGGCGCUGUCUCCACCCGAGACUCAGUGAAAUUGAAAUCGCUGUGAAGAUGCAGUGUAUCCGCGGCUAGACGGAAAGACCCCGUGAACCUUUACUGUAGCUUUGCACUGGACUUUGAGCCUGCUUGUGUAGGAUAGGUGGGAGGCUUUGAAGCGUGGACGCCAGUUCGCGUG